UCUGUAUUUUGCAAUAUUACACUGCAAAUAGUGCAACGAUGUUUCACUUCGCCGUAAACAUUCACCCACGAGUGUUCUUUGUGCCCUUGUAACUCUGCGUUGAUCGAAGGCAUUUAAUCAAUGUGCCGAUUCGUCGGUCGCAAAAACCGUUCGCGCGGCGAUCACGCGGGCGCGAGUCGCAUGAAGUGUGGUGCGUUUUGAUACUCUCGAUGUGCAGCGUCUCGCAGCGAUCUUCACUCCAUUCAGAAAUCGCGGCGCAUGCCGCCGCGUACGAAGGAUCAUAUUUCCCAGUGAAAAAGCACGAUCAGGAUACGCGCGCGCACAGUACUGGGAGGUUGGCGGAGUACUAAAGCGUCUCCCGUGUCCGAGCGAGUCUUCUCUCGUCGAGAACCACGCAUCGUCCUCGGCAUUGGCGCGACGCGAGUCAAAACGCCCAAAUGUUGCAUUGAAAGCUCCAUGUGGAAGAUAUUGUAUGCGCGGUACACUUCUGGGAUUCUUUUUGCUUGAGGAAGGUUCCUUCUCAUGUUGUUAUUCUUACUAAAAGACGCAUAUCAAAAAAACGGAAAAAGAAUUGAUCAAUUCAAAAAAGCAGGCAGCAAUUCACGAAAGGUGCAUUGCGUUUGAGUUUUUCCCACUGUAGCCACGUGAUCACAAGCUGCGCAAAGCCUGAUUGUUCUCUCAGUGGAUGGAGUAUAGAAAUA